AUAAUUUUUUCAAAAGUUUUUGUAAUUUUUUAUUUUUAAAUAUAAAAAUAAAAAGCUCAUUUUCCCCCUAUCUCCUCACGGGCCAGCCCAUGCCGUCCGUGCGUACGAGCACAGCCCGUCACGUAAGACCCACACUGCCAUUUCCCUUUCCCGACGACACCAGCCCACGCACCCCGCGGCACCCGCCGUUGCCGGCGUACCUCUGCCGCCGGUGGAACACCCGAUGCCGCGCCCGCGCGGGACGGCCGCGAGCCGCACCCACCAACACGAACGCCGUCCAAUCCACGACGAACCAAACCGCAACGCCCUCGGCAGUGGCAUGGGCAGGUCGGCGGCGCGCGUACGCCGGGGCGUGGAGGCCGCCAGCCCCGACCACCGCCACAGCCAUCUCGAGGGGAUAAAGGUGAGAAAAUUAUGCCUGUGGUCAUAAUCAUAGAUGCUUCCUGGAUGAUAAAAUACAUCCACUGAAACCAUCAGCAGUUUACUGCUGCAAGUCCAUAGAGUCUUCCUGCCUUUUUCCUUGGUGGACCAGCAGCUAUGCAAGUGUCAACAUGUGGCCAAUUUUAUGUUCAUUCGGCGGUUUCUUCUGCAGACAUUGUUUUAUGGAUUCAGUCAAAUUCUAGUGGCGAUUGCACUUUCUUGCAGUACUGGAGUUCCUGUACUAUAUUGUAUAAGAUUUAUCUGUGGCUGUUGCUGGCGUAUCGUGGAAAUAUUCUUGAUGGAACAUUCACCCAGAAGAGACAAUAACAUUCUUUUGUUUUCGUAGUGAACUGCUUACUGUGUUUGAGAAUACUGCAUAGGUAAUGGCUAUGGAAGAACAAAAGAGCUAGAGUGGUUGCUAACUCAUCAAAUGUUCUCUUCGCUAAUAAAUACAGAUUUUCCAGGAUUUUUAUGUUAGUUUUUGUAUUGGCAUAGAAGCACACCUUUAAACAGUAGUACUGCCUCUAAACUUGUAGGAUGUAAACUUUUGUAUUUUGAAG